GCGCAUACACGGCUCAGCUGUGUGCAAUCGCAACCAAUUUACGUAGAAAAAUAAUGUAUUUUAUAGUAUUUUUAUUCAGUUAGACGAAGUACUGGAUACGGUAUUCGUGAUAUUAGGAAACAUGGACUGCCCAUCCAGUAUUGCAACAGUGCAUAAAUUGUGCUUAUACUAUAUGUAGCCUUUUGCUUUGUAUUGUCUUUGAUGCAUCAAAACAAAUAUUACAUUUUUGAAGAAAAUUAUUCCUAGCUUUUAAUAGGAGAGAUGGAUGUAGUACGAGAUGAAGACAGGCGCAGGCGCCUGAGGGUGCUGGAGGAACGUGUAAAGGAUCCAAGAAGUAUCACAAACAUUGAUUGCUUGUUGGAUACAGUUCAGGCCCUGGUGGCAGAUUGUGAUCAUCCCAGCGUAAAACGUAUGAAAAACAUAGAAGCAUAUAUGAAUAGAUAUGACUCAGUAGCUCAAGAUAUUUGUAAAAUGCGAAUGCGUACAGAUGACUUUACUCUAAUAAAAGUGAUAGGUCGUGGUUCAUUUGGUGAAGUACAAUUAGUAAGACAUAAAUCUACACAGAAAGUAUAUGCUAUGAAAUUACUCAGUAAAUUUGAAAUGAUCAAACGAUCAGAUUCAGCCUUUUUUUGGGAAGAACGUGAUAUAAUGGCACAUGCCAAUUCUCAGUGGAUAGUUCAGCUUCAUUUUGCAUUUCAAGAUCAAAAAUAUCUUUACAUGGUGAUGGAUUACAUGCCAGGUGGUGAUUUAGUGAAUUUAAUGUCAAAUUAUGACGUGCCAGAAAAAUGGGCAAAAUUUUAUUGUGCAGAAGUGGUGCUUGCAUUAGAUGCAAUACAUCUUAUGGGAUUUGUUCAUAGAGAUGUAAAGCCAGAUAAUAUGUUACUUGAUAAGUAUGGUCAUUUAAAACUUGCAGAUUUUGGCACUUGUAUGAGAAUGGAUGCCGAUGGUCUUGUUCGAUCUGAUACUGCAGUAGGUACACCUGAUUAUAUAUCACCUGAGGUGCUUCAGUCUCAAGGUGGUGAAGGUGUAUACGGAAGAGAAUGUGAUUGGUGGUCAGUUGGUGUAUUUUUAUAUGAAAUGCUUGUUGGUGAUACUCCGUUUUAUGCAGAUUCAUUAGUUGGAACAUAUUCAAAAAUUAUGGAUCAUAGAAAUUCACUACAUUUUCCACAAGAAGUUGAUAUUUCUCAUUCUGCCAAGAAUUUGAUAUGUGGUUUUCUUACGGAUAGAACUAAACGUUUGGGUAGAAAUGGCGUGGAAGAAAUAAAAAAUCAUCCUUUCUUUAAAAACGAUCAGUGGACAUUUGAAAAUUUACGAGAAUGUGUGCCUCCUGUCGUGCCAGAACUUUCCGGCGAUGAUGAUACUAGCAAUUUUGAGGAUGUCGAUAAAGAAGAUGGACCGGAGGAAAGUUUCCCAAUACCAAAAGCAUUUUCUGGAAACCAUUUACCUUUUAUUGGUUUUACAUAUUCAGAAGAUUAUCAAUUAAUGGCUUCUAGCGGCAAGGAGUCGGUAGAUGGCUUAGAAAAUCAUAUCAAUAAUGGUACAAGCGAUGAUAUUAAAAUUUCUCAAUUAGAAAACUUAUUGGAUAAAGAAAAGAGACAGGUAGAAUCUUUAGAAUCAAGGCAGAAAGCUUUAACAACACGGUUAGAAGCUAUGACACGCCGGGAAACCGAAUUGCGUGAAGAAAUAGGUAGAGCGGACAAAGAAUUGACUUUGUUGAGGCAUAAUUAUAAAGAAGCACAACGUAGGGUGGAGCAUGAAACUGAGUCGCGUAGAAAAGCGGAGUCAUUAAUUGUGGAGUUGAAAAAGAAGUAUGAUGAAGAGCAGACGAAACGAGCACGUGAUGCAAGUAAUUCACAACAAACUUCUGAACGUGUAACAAGUUUAGAAAAACAAAUUAAAGAAAUGCAAUCGAAAUUGGAAAGAGAAACAGAAAUGGUAACGAGGUUACGGAAACAAGCUACUGAGAUUACUGUUGCUCGUCAAGCUGCAGAACAAAUGGCAAAUGAACUACAAGUGGAAAGAGCGAAAUUACAAGCGCAACGAGAUAAUUUACAGCAAGAAGUGGCUACAUUACAAGGACAAUUGUCGAAAGAGCGUAGUUCUCGAUCACAAGCCUCAUCGUUAACUGCUGAAUUAGAAAGCCGACUCUCUGCUCUUCAUGUCGAACUCGAACAUAGUCGAGAGAAAGAGGAGAAAGUAAUCAUGGAUAAUAGACAACUAACUGAAAAAAUCUCAGCAUUGGAAAAAGAAGCAGCAAGUUUAACUCUUGAAUUAAAAGCUGCGCAAGCUAGGUAUAAUCAGGAAGUGGUAGCCCAUCAAGAAACGGAACGUUCACGCAUACUAUCCAAAGAGGAAGCUAAUUUAGAAGUAGUUAAAGCAUUACAAGCAAAAUUAAAUGAAGAAAAAAGUGGGAGGCAACGUGCUGAAUUACUUGCACAAGAAAAGGAAAGGCAAACCUCUAUGCUCUCUGUGGAUUAUCGACAGAUUCAACAGCGAUUACAGAAACUGGAAGGAGAACAUAGGCAAGAAGUUGAAAAGGUAAAAGUGCUACAAGGUCAGGUCGAACAAGAACAGCAGAAAAGAAACAUUCUGCAGACUGACUUAGCACAGCAGUCGUCCGAAGCAGGACGAUUACGUGCCAGGGAACAACAAUUAGCUGGCGAAGUUGCUCAGCUAAGAGAAGCAAAACGUCAAAUAGAGGAUGAAUUACAUCACUUGAAAACUCAAAGAAAUGUGGAUCAACUACAAACUAAGGAAUUACAAGAACAAUUAGAAGCAGAAGCUUAUUUUUCGACACUUUAUAAAACACAGACGCAAGAACUUCGGGAAGAACUUGAUGAAAAAAUACGUUUACAACAAGAAUUAGAAGAGGAACGUAGCUCUUUAGUGCAUCAGUUACAAUUAUCUCUAGCGAGAGGUGAUAGUGAAGCUUUGGCGAGAUCAAUAGCUGAAGAAACUGUCGCAGACCUCGAAAAGGAACGAACAAUGAAGGAAUUAGAAUAUAAAGAUGGAGUAGCCAAACAUCACCAAGAAUUGAACGCAAAAGAACAAAUUAUAAAUCGGCUUAAGGAUAGUGAAGGUGAACUUAAGAAAAAUGUUGAUCAAUAUCUUAAAGAAAAGGAAGAUUUAAAUAAACGGUUUAAAGAAUUGCAAGAUCAACUUUCUAAAGCACAGUCUAAUGGCGAAGAAAUAGAAAAAUUGAGCAGUAAAUUGAAAACUGAGCAAUUAUUGAAACAACAAGCAGUUAAUAAGUUAGCAGAGAUUAUGAACAGGAAAGACUUGUCUUCAAGUGGUAAAUCCAAGAAUAAAGCUUCUGCAGCAGAUUUAAGAAAGAAGGAAAAAGAUUGCAGGCGUUUACAACAAGAGCUUACUCAAGAGAGAGAAAAAUACGGACAGUUAACAGCUAAAUGGCAAAAAGAUUUGCAAGAUUUACAAGCACAAUUGGUGGAAGAAAAUCAAGCGAAAUUGAGGUUACAAAUGGAACUCGAUUCGAAAGAUUCCGAAAUAGAAACUUUACAAAUGAAAAUUGCUUCGCUCAACUCAGAAACCGCUAGCGUUUCGUCCGUUGAAAACGACGGAGAAGAUUCUGUUUUAUCGGAACAUGGAACCAUGCGAUUGGAAGGUUGGUUAAACGUGCCAAAUAAACAGAACAUUAAAAGGCAUGGAUGGAAAAAACAAUACGUUGUUGUCUCUUCGAAGAAAAUAAUAUUUUAUAAUAGUGAAAAUGAUAAAUUAAAUGCCGAUCCAGUCUUGAUAUUGGACCUAAAUAAAGUCUUCCACGUUAGAUCUGUUACUCAGGGUGAUGUUAUCCGAGCUGAUGCCAAAGAUAUUCCGAGAAUUUUCCAGUUAUUAUAUGCUGGUGAAGGCGAAGCAAGACGUCCUGGUGAUGAAGGAAACACAUUGCCUGGAGUGGAACUGCCACAACUUACGGACAAACCAGGCACGCAAUCGUUAAAAGGUCACGAAUUUGUGUCAAUAUCGUAUCAUAUGCCGACUACUUGCGAGGUAUGCUCAAAACAAUUGUGGCAUAUGUUUCGACCGCCACCAGCUCUCGAGUGCCGAAGGUGUCGUAUAAAAGUUCAUAAGGAGCAUUUGGACAAAAAGGAAGAUGCCAUAGCACCCUGCAAAUUACAUUACGAUCCAAACAGUGCUCGUGAAUUAUUAAUAUUGGCUGGUAGUCCUGACGAACAGAAAUAUUGGGUCGCAAGACUGUCUAGACGUGUACAAAAAUGUGGCUACAAAGCAAACUCGCACGUCGAUGGCACGGGGCAACGUGUCUCGCCAAGGUAGCGUAGCGGUGCGGCUCAACGUAACCGGAGACUAAGUAGCUCUCUUGUAUUGUGGCAUCGCAUGAUUGGGUGUAGCGAGAGAGUCUACGAGAUCCACCUUGAAGCCAUAUUUAUCGGUGCAACAACGAUCCGCGACUCUGCCAGCAAAUGCCAGCAUGGGCAAGUGACCUUAGCUAGUAUCGAUAAUACUCGAUUGGAAUUCGUUGCUUCGACGUCCUUCUCAAUCGAUCUAUUUAAAACAUAUAAAUUCAAUCAGUUGGUCAGACAAAUGAUUUGCAAUGAGAUUCAAAUAUGCGAAAAUAAUUUUCUACAUUCUAUGUUAUCUGGGAAAAUAUCUUGAGACAUCUGGAGUUCAUGUAUCUUAAAAACAUCCGCCUAUCUGAAUGCACAGAGAAACAUGUCAUUAUCAACUUUUUGACGAAUGCGAGGAUUCUCCACAAAAUCGUUCGUUGACAUUUUUACUUGUAUCGAUCGUUAUUUGUAGGUACAUGUUUGUUAAACGAAUCAAACGUGCCUUUAAUAUAUACUGACGAUGAUGGAACUCGAAUGAUCUAAAGGAAAUUGAAGAAACAAGACGCUCAUCAGGAAAUGUUAUAAGAUGAAAGUUUUCGAGAGGGGGAAACGAGGCGAGUAAUAAGUGGGAGUGUGCAGCUGUUAUUAACAAGACAAAGUAAUGAUAAUAGUGUUUAUAUAAAUGAAUAUAGUGAUCGUAACGAAUUUGAGUAUGUGGGCCGCGUUUCUCGGAUUUAUCAAACACAGUGUUAUGUUCGAUAUCGUAUUCGACGAGCAAGCUUUGUCAAUGAUUUGCAUAGUAUCUCCAAGAGACCAUCAUCGCGCGUUGUUUUAUGAAUAUUUUUCAUACGUGCGAAUGGAUUUUUAUGUUGAUUUAUUUUUUCCAUGAAUGCAUAAAUUCAAAGAUGAUUUCCCUGUACAUAAAUUACGGCCGUAAGAACUGCUUCUCAGUUGUUUAAGCAGCUCGUUCAUUGACUUUUGCAACGAUAUUGUGAAAUGGGUGGACAUUACAAUGCUUUCGCAAAAAAAAAAGAAGAAAAAAAAAAUUGUUGUUUGUGCGAUAUAUAUAUGAUAUUCUCCGAUCAUUAGCGAUUAUUUAAAGGUGAGAAUUUUGAGAACUCGAUAAUAUUGUGUAUUUACUACGCCGGAUUGAUAGUAUUAUUAUUUUUAUACGUUCUGAGAUUAAAGUAUAUCGAUAUUUAAUUACGUUAAGAAGAGAAGGAAUGGAAUUGAUUUAUGCGUAGAAGUACGCAUGCUAUUCAGCUGGCUAGAGCGGCUGCCAAAGUUUCUUCUUUUAGUAUGAGAAACGCGUUAUUAUGUUUAAUCGAAUCAUCGGGGAAUGCAUCGGUAGAUAAAUAUAAACGUGAGAUAAUGAAUAUUGGAAAUACUUCAUCACAGAAUUAUUAAUGAUAGAUACAUUAUUUAAAUUUUGAAGUUGAUAGUCUUGGAAUAUCUCAGAUUUUUAAAUUAUCACAAACACAUUUUUAGAAUCUUGGAAGAACCUUCUACAUCUUUUUGUUUUCUUGCUCUCUUUUUCAAAAUUAUUGUCGUAUUUGUUAGUUCAAAAUUCUUGUUUUAAAUCUUCAAUUCAUAUUUUCGAAGAACUUUCAAGAUUCAACAGGCGCUCUGUAUAUUUUGUGAAUUUUCAUUUCUGUUGCCACGUAUUCAUUAGAAUAUGAAUGCAUAUUGCGACCAAGCAAUAAAGUAAGGGUAGAAAUUGUAAGAGGAAGAGAAAAAGUUAAAUUUUAGAAUGAGCACAAUGGUAAAAUAUUAAGGAAUACCGCCACGAACGAGCUUCAUUGUAUAAUAGAAAUACGAUAUUUACAAUUGUAAGAUAAGAAUUUUUUAAUACGAUGUAUGAUAUAUCCGCUACAGAUUGCUGAAAGGAUGGGCGAUAUGAAAUACCGAAAAAAGCGCAGAAUCGCGCACGUAGUCGAGAGAGGCUUAGGAACAAUGCUAUAGAAAUUGGUGCCGAGUUAGAAAAGAUUUGUACGAGGAGCAACAGAGGUAUCAAGAUGAAGAAAAAAGGAAAAAAAGUGUAAUGAGCUAAUGAAACUUAUUGUUAUUAUUAUCAUCAUCAUCAUCAUCAUCGUCGUCGCCAUCGCCAUCGUCAUCGUCGUCGUCGUCGUCGUCAUCAUCAUCAUCACCACCAUCAUCAUCACCAUCACCAUCACCAUCAUUAUUAUUAUUAUUAUUACUAUUAAAAAAUCAUUGUCGCCGUUUGUGUUCUAUCCACGGUGUACCUCAGUGACGUGUGCGUAUAUUCAUCACGUUGGUCUGGGCCGAGAGAAAAAUGAAAUUUCUCGGUCGCUUUACAGAACUUGUCCCGACUCUUCUUAGGUAGGUUGCAACAUCUUUCUUUCCAUCUGAGACGUCCUUUUAUAAGGUACUUUUUGCGCCCCUUUUCUUCAUCCUUUUUCUUUCUAUUCUUCUUUUUACACUCUGCUUUCAUUUAGUUUUCGAGUUUCCGCGAGAUAAAGGAAGCUCAGUAUGUAUGUGACGUCAUCCGUUGAUUUAUUAAGAAGAUGCGAAAGGGCCAGAUAUACGCAAACGAUUAUGAAAGUAGGAAGCCCACGUUUUUAAUUAAAUUAGCCCGUGCAUUUUACUCUGUUCCGCCUGCCUGUUGCACUAUUUUUUUAUAAACUGGAAAAGAAUUUUCGACAACGCGAGAUAUAAAAUAGGGAGGGAGAGAGAGAGAGAAAACGAGCGAGAGAGAGAGAGAGAGAGAGAGAGAGAGACAGGCAGACAGACAUAGAUAGACAGAGAUAGAUAGGUAGAGAAGCAAGAAGAAGUGAAAAAACUUGUUACAAGCAUAUUUUAUUAUUGUUUAGUUAUUUACAAGCUGUAUAUUAUUGAUUAAUAUUACGAUUAAAGUAUUUUGUAGAUAAAACGCGAGUCUUUGUAGACGUUUUCCACCAUCACCGAACAAUGAAUUUAAUCUCAUUGUCGAAUAGAUUAGAUGUUUCUAAAUAUGUAUUUGAUCUUCUCUAUCUUACGAUUUGUUUUUCUUCUUUAGUCUUUUCGGCUGAUAAUCUUAUUCGAUUGUAGUCAUUUAUAAUAAUCGAAGGUAAGAAAUGGCAUAUAAAAGAGAACGAAUUCUUCCUAUAUAUUUUUCUUUCCCUUUCUUGUCUUGUUGAAAUAAAAAUACCUCAUCUGGAGCACCGUUUGUAGAUUAUUACGGAUGUGCAAAAAUCUUUGAGUGAUAAAUUUGAUCGAAUGUCAUUAUUGUUAAUACAAUAGGGAGUAUCGAGCUUUGUGUAAAACCUUCUUCUAUAUCUCUUUUGCGUACUGUGUACAAUUUUCUAUAUACAUGUGUAUAUGUUAAAUCUUAUGACUUUAUUUUACCUGUAAUCAAAAUUUCGAGAUAAACCGUUUUACGAUGUAA